rnacentral:pre_miRNA from 1 species
CUUCACCAUUGCAUCGGCCAGCGAGGAAGCCUAGGACUCUGGAUCUAGCAAACCCAGCCUCCUUGCUAGUGGAUCCGGUGGCUGAC